GACGAACGCUGGCGGCGUGCCUAAUACAUGCAAGUUGAGCGAUGAAGCUUGGUGCUUGCACCAAUUUGAAGAGCAGCGAACGGGUGAGUAACGCGUGGGUAAUCUGCCUUUGAGCGGGGGACAACAUUUGGAAACGAAUGCUAAUACCGCAUAAUAACUUUAAACAUAAGUUUUAAGUUUGAAAGAUGCAAUUGCAUCACUCAAAGAUGAUCCCGCGUUGUAUUAGCUAGUUGGUGAGGUAAAGGCUCACCAAGGCGAUGAUACAUAGCCGACCUGAGAGGGUGAUCGGCCACAAUGGGACGGAGACACGGCCCAAACUCCUACGGGAGGCAGCAGUAGGGAAUCUUCGGCAAUGGACGAAAGUCUGACCGAGCAACGCCGCGUGAGUGAAGAAGGUUGUCGGAUCGUAAAACUCUGUUGGUAGAGAAGAAAGUUGGUGAGAGUGGAAAGCUCAUCAAGUGACGGUAACUACCCAGAAAGGGACGGCUAACUACGUG
rnacentral:rRNA from 1 species